AGUGAACGCUGGCGGCGUGCUUAACACAUGCAAGUCGAACGGACUUAAGGGGCUUGCUUCUUAAGUUAGUGGCGCACGGGGUGAGUAAUAUAUAGCUAAACCUGACCCUUUAGUGGGGGACGAACAGUUGGAAACGGCUGCUAAUACCCCAUACUCCUUCUGAUCUUAAGGUCAGUUGGGAAAGAUUUAUCGCUAAAGGAUGGGGCUUUAUGUAUCAGUUAGUUGGUGGGGUAAUGGCCUACCAAGACAAUGACGCAUACCUGGUCUGAGAGGAUGAUCAGGCACACUGGAACUGAGACACGGGUCCAGGACUCCUACGGGAGGCAGCAGUGGGGAAUAUUGCACAAUGGAGGAAACUCUGAUGCAGCAACGCCGCGUGGAGGAUGACGCAUUUCGGUGUGUAAACUCCUUUUAUAAGGGAAGAUAAUGACGGUACCUUAUGAAUAAGCACCGGCUAACUCCGUG
rnacentral:rRNA from 1 species